rnacentral:rRNA from 1 species
GUAACGGCGAGUGAAGCGGUAACAGCUCAAAUUUGAAAUCUGGCUCUUUCAGGGUCCGAGUUGUAAUUUGUAGAAGAUGCUUCGGGUGUGGCUCCGGUCUAAGUUCCUUGGAACAGGACGUCAUAGAGGGUGAGAAUCCCGUAUGUGACUGGUUGCCUUCGCCCAUGUGAAGCUCUUUCGACGAGUCGAGUUGUUUGGGAAUGCAGCUCUAAAUGGGUGGUAAAUUUCAUCUAAAGCUAAAUAUUGGCCAGAGACCGAUAGCGCACAAGUAGAGUGAUCGAAAGAUGAAAAGCACUUUGGAAAGAGAGUUAAACAGUACGUGAAAUUGUUGAAAGGGAAGCGCUUGCAACCAGACUUGCACGCCGUCGAUCAUCUCAGGUUCUCCUGGGUGCACUCGGCGGUGUUCAGGCCAGCAUCGGUUUCGGUGGUUGGAUAAAGGCCUUGGGAAUGUGGCUCCUCUCGGGGAGUGUUAUAGCCCUCGGUGCAAUGCAGCCUACCGGGACCGAGGACCGCGCUUCGGCUAGGAUGCUGGCGUAAUGGUUG